UUAACAUGAUGGACUAUAGGACAGGACUGCUGCUUUUAACUGUCUGCUGGGCAGGUGUUGAUGGUCAGACUCUGAAAGAAUCUGAACCAGUGGUUAAAAGGCCUGGAGAAUCCCACAGAUUGACCUGUACAACUUCUGGGUUCGCACUCAGCAGCUGGGGCAUGCACUGGAUCAGACAGGCUCCUGGAAAAGGCCUGGAGUGGGUUGCUUAUAUCAGUAGCGGUGGUAGCACUUACUAUUCUCAGUCAGUUCAAGGCCAGUUUACCAUCUCCAAAGACAACAACAGACAGCAGGUGUAUCUGCAGAUGAACAGUCUGAAGACUGAAGAUUCUGCUGUUUAUUAUUGUGCUCGAGAGCCACAGUGACUGGAGUUGGUUGAGCAGCUGUACAAAAACCUACAGGACUCAUCUUUACCACAAUCAACUCACAUGACUAAUGUCAUUAAUGUUAAAAGAUACAAUACACUUCAUCAAAAUGACUCCUCAGAGAAGACAGUGGCUGAACAAUAAAUUGUUUUUGCUAACUGUCUAACUUGUGAUUUACAAGUGUUUUUACUCUUACUAGAGUCCAGCAGAGACUGUGGAUUGAGAGAAUAAAUGGAGAAUCAAACUGUUUUCAGCUCUACACUCACUUAACUACUCAAAUUGUCUUGUGUUUUGUUUACUCUUCUUAAUUGUGAUUUAAAAUUUGCACUUUCAUGUACAUUAAUCUGACAGAUAAACCGGCAGCCUUUUUCCUGUGCACUGCAGUUGUAAAUUCUUUGCAUAUCGUCCCACAGGUUUCACUUCCUAAAUAAUUCAUGUCCUUUUGAGGCUCCAGGUUUCUCUGUAUGUCUGUGGCUUCAAACUGCCACAAUUUAUAUUGUGAAACCUUUAAAAGUAAAAAAAGAAAGAACAAUCCAGGCCCUCCACCAGCUGCAACAAACUCAAAUAUUCAAAGAUUAUCAUUUUCAAAGAAAAGGACUGGAGUGGAUUGCUCUUGUACACACAUUUAGUUCUCCAAUCUCUUACUCCCAGUCAGUCCAGGGUAGAUUCACCAUCUCCAGAGAUGACUCCAGCAGUAAAAUCUAUCUACAGAUGAACAAUCUGAAGACCGAGGACACAGCAGUGUAUUACUGUGCCAGAAGAGACAUAGUGAGAGACAAUAACAGGAGAGUCAUACAAAAACUACUUCCUCUAUUUACCACCACCACUGGGAACAUUACAUUCAGUCUGUAUAACAUUUGUUGGACUGCUGUUUUUUGUUAAUGUGUUUUUAUUCAUCUACUUAUAAAGGACAUUAAAAUCAAUCAACUAGCACUCAUCA